CUGGUUGAUCCUGCCAGUAGUGAUAUGCUUGUUUCAAAGAUUAAGCCAUGCAUGUCUAAGUAUAAGCGAACUUAUACAGUGAAACUGCGGAUGGCUCAUUAAAACAGUUUGAAUUUAUUUGAUGAAUGUAUGAGAAUACUACUUGGAUAACCGUAGUAAUUCUAGAGCUAAUACAUGCAACGACGCCCGACCGUUUCACUACGGAAGGGCUGUAUUUAUUGGAUACCAAAACCAUCCUUCCCUCGGGAAGUUUUGUUUGAUGAUUCACAAUAACUGAUCGGAUCGCCACUGUGGUGGCGACAGGUCAUUCAACAUUCUGCCCUAUCAGCUUUCGAUGGUUGUGUAGUGGACAACCAUGGCCAUAACGGGUAACGGAGAAUCAGGGUUCGAUUCCGGAGAAGGAGCUUGAGAAUUGGCUACUACAUCUAAGGAAGGCAGCAGGCGCGCAAAUUACCCAAUCCCGAUUCGGGGAGGUAGUGACAAAAAAUAACAAUACCGGGCCUUUUUGGGCUUGGUAAUUGGAAUGAGGGAGAAUUAAACGGACCAUCGAGUAUCCAUUGGAGGGCAAGUCUGGUGCCAGCAGCUGCGGUAAUACCAGCUCCAAUAGCGUAUAUUAAAGUUGUUGCAGUUAAAAAGCUCGUAGUUGGACUUGUGUGCGCUGUCCGCGGGUGGCCUGCGCCCAAAAGGGCGUUUCGGUUCGGCCCCGGUGGCGCCUUGAAAUCUGCAGCUGGGGGGACGUUGGCCUUAACUGGUCGGCGACCGCACGCCGGCUGCUCGGUUACUGUGAGAAAAUUAGAGUGUUCAAGGCAGGCAUUGGGUGCAGUUGAAUACAUUAGCAUGGAAUAAUAAAAUAUGGCUCCUGCCGUAUUUUGUUGGUUUUGACUGGUGGGAGUAAUGAUUGAUAGGGACGGUUGGGGGUGCUAGUAUUGAGCGGCCAGAGGUGAAAUUCAUGGAUUCGCUCAAGACUAACUUAUGCGAAAGCAUUCACCAAGGACGUCCUCUUUAAUCAAGAACGAAAGUUGAGGGAUCGAAGACGAUCAGAUACCGUCGUAGUCUCAACCAUAAACUAUGUCGACUUGGGAUCGGCGGUAGUUUUUUCAUUAAGACACUGUCGGGACCACGGGAGAAAUCAAAGUGUCUGGACUCUGGGGGAAGUAUGGUCGCAAGGCUGAAACUUGAAGGAAUUGACGGAAGGGCACCACCAGGAGUGGAGCCUGCGGC
rnacentral:rRNA from 1 species